rnacentral:rRNA from 1 species
GUAUGGUGCAAGCGUUAUCCGGAUUUACUUGGUGUAAAGGGAGCGUAGACGGAUGGGCAAGUCUGAUGUGAAAACCCGGGGCUCAACCCCGGGACUGCAUUGGAAACUGUUCAUCUAGAGUGCUGGAGAGGUAAGUGGAAUUCCUAGUGUAGCGGUGAAAUGCGUAGAUAUUAGGAGGAACACCAGUGGCGAAGGCGGCUUACUGGACAGUAACUGACGUUGAGGCUCGAAAGCGUGGGGAGCACACAGGAUUAGAUACCCUGGUAGUCCACGCCGUAAACAAUGACUACUAGGUGUCGGGUGGCAAAGCCAUUCGGUGCCGCAGCAAACGCAAUAAGUAGUCCACCUGGGGAGUACGUUCGCAAGAAUG